AUAGAGAUGGGCUUGUCUGACGCUGUUCCACGAGUUUACUCCCUCAACCAUGGUCACCGCCUCACUAUCCUGUAACCCACCGCCUUCAUCUCGAUCCUUCCUCAAACCUCUUCGUCUCCACCACUUCUCCCUUUUUCUUCAUUACCCACUCAUCUUCUCCAUUUGAUACCUUCAUCGACAUCCUACUAUUUGGUCACAACUCAUCUUCAUCGACAUCUAACCACCGAUAUCAACACCGCCUCUGACUCCUUUCACCUGACACCACUUGUCUGAUCCUUACGGAACCCCGUUUUUGAAACCGCGGGGACGUGGCGACGGCUACACCAACGGAGACGCUACAGAAGGCGAACUCUCGGGAAGGGUUUUCGAACACUGCAGUGGAGCCGGAAGCGGGUUAGUAUUCAGUCGGUUUCCUCCUCACCGUCCCCUCCCACCUCCACUAUGUUCCAAUCGGAGGUUUAGAGUGGUUUACAUGCUGUCACUGCUGCCAUAUCACCUCUAUUUUUCGUCGAUUCCAAUCUACCUCUAUUUUCCGUUGAUUUUGUUUCUCUCUGUUUUGUUGUCUCUAUUUGUGCGUAUCUUCUUCUUCUUCUUCACACCUUCACUUGUCUUUCAAUUUCCGUCCCACUUUGUUUUUUUGUUAGCAUCGAUUCCUUAUAGAUGGUUAGUAAUUAGUCGUGCUUUCUUUACUUCACCACAUUGUGCAAUAAUUAACCGUUCUUUCUUUAGUAAUCAACCGAAAUAUGUAGUCCCUAUUUCACCAAUCAGCCCUAAUAUUUGAUUUCUUUCUUUAUUUUGUUACUGUGUUUCCAGUUUUACUACUAUUGUUGUUGGCCAACAAUGCCCUAACAUUAAUUUCUUAGAGAUGGUUAGUAAUCAACACUUCUGCUGAUUUCGUUAUUUUUGUGAACACUGACUUCUUAUGGUGUGUUGUUAGUGCCAUCUGUGUCGCCUCUGGUGAGAGGUUGAAGAUGCCGACAAUGGAGAAGUUCAUCUGAAAAUAGGAAAGGGGAAAAUAGGAAAAUGCUGCAAGUUUGAUGGACAAGUUGAUGGGGCAAAUCAAAGUCUUAGGGCUCUUAAAGACACUUCGAGGAGGUAGAUUGGAGAAUGAGCUAACAAUAACAGAUGGUAUUCUCUAAAAUGAGGAUUUUCAGAGAAUCAAACAGCUAAAAUCAUUCUAAAUCAACAGCUUAUGAAAUCAACAACAUCCUAUGAGGUCCCAACUCAUUUUGAAAAGACUCAAUGGAUUUCACUUAAAGAAAGGAAGGCUUUGAUCAAAUCGGGAAAGAGAAGAUAGGGAAAAAUACCAAUCAAGAGCUGCUACCAAGUGGAAAAGGUGCUUCAUAUCUUUAAUUGAUGUUGUUGUGCGAACUAUAAUUUUACAGGUAAGCCAAACAUCCUAUAAAGAAGGUGAAAAGAAAGUUCCUACACAAGGAUCCUUUGAUUUCAUGACAUAUUGACUUAAUACUACAUGUCUAUUUUCUAUAGUUUGUCAAUGAUCUGAUUAAUGCAAGAGCUAACAUGUACAUAUUUGUUUUAUAAUAUUUUUUUAAGUGUUUGAUUUUUUUGAAGAAA